rnacentral:rRNA from 1 species
AUUGAACGCUGGCGGCAUGCCUUACACAUGCAAGUCGAACGGCAGCACGGGUGCUUGCACCUGGUGGCGAGUGGCGAACGGGUGAGUAAUACAUCGGAACGUACCUUAUCGUGGGGGAUAACGCAGCGAAAGCUGUGCUAAUACCGCAUACGCCCUGAGGGGGAAAGCGGGGGAUCGCAAGACCUCGCGCGAUUAGAGCGGCCGAUGCCUGUUUAGCUAGUUUGUGGGGUAAAAGCCCACCAAGGCGACGAUCAGUAGCUGGUCUGAGAGGACGAUCAGCCACACUGGGACUGAGACACGGCCCAGACUCCUACGGGAGGCAGCAGUGGGGAAUUUUGGACAAUGGGGGCAACCCUGAUCCAGCAAUGCCGCGUGAGUGAAGAAGGCCUUCGGGUUGUAAAGCUCUUUUGUCAGGGAAGAAACACCGGCUCUAACACAGUCCGGGAAUGACGGUACCUGAAGAAUAAGCACCGGCUAACUACGUGCCAGCCGCCGCCGUAA